rnacentral:rRNA from 1 species
UAAGGCCUUUCGGGGUACACGAGCGGCGAACGGGUGAGUAACACGUGGGUGAUCUGCCCUGCACUUCGGGAUAAGCCUGGGAAACUGGGUCUAAUACCGGAUAUGACCUCAGGUUGCAUGGCUUGGGGUGGAAAGAUUUAUCGGUGCAGGAUGGGCCCGCGGCCUAUCAGCUUGUUGGUGGGGUAAUGGCCUACCAAGGCGACGACGGGUAGCCGACCUGAGAGGGUGACCGGCCACACUGGGACUGAGACACGGCCCAGACUCCUACGGGAGGCAGCAGUGGGGAAUAUUGCACAAUGGGCGAAAGCCUGAUGCAGCGACGCCGCGUGAGGGAUGACGGCCUUCGGGUUGUAAACCUCUUUCAGCAGGGACGAAGCGCAAGUGACGGUACCUGCAGAAGAAGCACCGGCUAACUACGUGCCAGCAGCCGCGGUAAUACGUAGGGUGCAAGCGUUGUCCGGAAUUACUGGGCGUAAAGAGUUCGUAGGCGGUUUGUCGCGUCGUUUGUGAAAACCAGCAGCUCAACUGCUGGCUUGCAGGCGAUACGGGCAGACUUGAGUACUGCAGGGGAGACUGGAAUUCCUGGUGUAGCGGUGAAAUGCGCAGAUAUCAGGAGGAACACCGGUGGCGAAGGCGGGUCUCUGGGCAGUAACUGACGCUGAGGAACG